CCUACGGGACGCAGCAGUGGGGAAAUUUGGACAAUGGGCGAAAGCCUGAUCCAGCCAUCCCGCGUGCAGGAUGAAGGCCUUCGGGUUGUAAACUGGUUUUGUACGGAACGAAAAGACUCCUUCUAAUAAAGGGGGUCCAUGACGGUACCGUAAGAAUAAGCUCCGGCUAACUACGUGCCAGCAGCCGCGCUAAUACGUAGGGUGCAAGCGUUAAUCGGAAUUACUGGGCGUAUAGCGUGCGCAGGCGGUUAUAUAAGACAGAUGUGAAAUCCCCGGGCUCAACCUGGGAAGUGCAUUUGUGACUGUAUAGCUAGAGUACGGUAGAGGGGGAUGCAAUUCCGCGUGUAGCAGUGAAAUGGGUAGAUAUGCGGAGGAACACCGAUGGCGAAGGCAAUCCCCUGGACCUGUACUGACGCUCAUGCAGGAAAGCGUGGGGAGCAAACAGGAUUAGAUACCCUGGUAGUGCACGCCCUAAACGAUGUCAACUGGUUGUUGGGUCUUCACUGACUCAGUAACGAAGCUAACGCGUGAAGUUGAC
rnacentral:rRNA from 1 species